rnacentral:rRNA from 1 species
CCAGCACCCCGAGUGGUCGGGACGAUUAUUGGGCCUAAAGCAUCCGUAGCCGGUUUUACAAGUCCCCCGUUAAAUCCAACUGCUUAACAGAUGGGCCGCGGAGGAUACUAUAAGACUAGGAGGCAGGAGAGGCAAGCGGUACUCAGUGGGUAGGGGUAAAAUCCGUUGAUCCAUUGAAGACCACCAGUGGCGAAGGCGGCUUGCCAGAAUGCGCUCGACGGUGAGGGAUGAAAGCUGGGGGAGCAAACCGGAUUAGAUACCCGGGUAGUCCCAGCUGUAAACGAUGCAGACUCGGUGAUGGACUAGCUUAAUGCUAGUCCAGUGCCGCAGGGAAGCCGUUAAGUCUGCCGCCUGGGUAGUACGGUCGCAAGACUG